AUUGAACGCUGGCGGCAGGCCUAACACAUGCAAGUCGCGCGAGCGGCGGACGGGUGAGUAAUGUAUGGGGACUGCCCGAUAGAGGGGGAUAACUACUGGAAACGGUAGCUAAUACCGCAUACUAUCGGAUAACCCAUAUGGGAUUAGCUAGUAGGUGAGGUAAUGGCUCACCUAGGCGACGAUCCCUAGCUGGUCUGAGAGUAUGAUCAGCCAAACGUGGAUGUAGACACGGCACAGACUCAUACGGAGGCAGCAGUGGGGAAUAGUGCACAAUGGGCGCAAGCCUGAUGCAGCCAUGCCGCGUGUAUGAAGAAGGCCCUAGGGUUGUAAAGUACUUUCAGUCGGGAGGCGUUACCGACAGAAGAAGCACCGGCUAACUCCGUGCCAGCAGCCGCGGUAAUAC
rnacentral:rRNA from 1 species